GGAUAGCUCAGUUGGUUAAAGCGUGGUGCUAAUAAUGCCAAGGUUGUGGGUUCAAUCUCUGUAAGGGGCAUCU